GCAUUUAUGGCUGAGUGGUCAAAAGCAUUAGACUCAUAAUCUAAGAGUUACUUAACUAACAAUGGUUCAAAUCCAUUUAAAUGCA
rnacentral:tRNA from 1 species